GUGAGUCAUCGAAUCUUUGAACGCAUCUUGCGCUCCUUGGUAUUCCGAGGAGCAUGCCUGUUUGAGUGUCGUGAAGUACUCUCAAUUUCAAUCUUUUGUCGGUUUGAAAUUGGACUUGGGUGCUGUUGUGAAUCUCACAACUCGUCCUAAAUGCAUUAGCGAUCUGCCUUUGAUCACACACAAUGUGAUAAGAUUUAGAGCAUUGUUACAGUCAAGUCAGGAUUGCUUCUAACUGUCUUUGCGGACAAUUCUUCAUGUCGUUUGACCUCAGAUCAGGUAGGACUACCCGCUGAACUUAAGCAUAUCAAUAAGCGGAGGA
rnacentral:misc_RNA from 1 species